UACAGAGGCCCCAAGCGUUACUGAGAAUCACUGGGUUUAAAGGGUGCGUAGGUGGCGCGUUAAGUCCGUUGUGAAAUCCCUUGGCUCAACCAAGGAAAUGCUUCGGAUACUGGCGUGCUUGAGGCUAGUAAGGGUCACUGGAACUGACGGUGGAGCGGUGAAAUGCGUAGAUAUCGUCAGGAACGCCAAUGGUGAAGACAGGUGACUGGGGCUAGUUCUGACACUGAGGCACGAAAGCGUGGGGAGCGAACGGGG
rnacentral:rRNA from 1 species